GCGGAGGGAUCAUUACCGAGUUUACAACUCCCAAACCCCUGUGAACAUACCUUAUGUUGCCUCGGCGGAUCAGCCCGCGCCCCGUAAAAAGGGACGGCCCGCCGCAGGAACCCUAAACUCUGUUUUUAGUGGAACUUCUGAGUAUAAAAAACAAAUAAAUCAAAACUUUCAACAACGGAUCUCUUGGUUCUGGCAUCGAUGAAGAACGCAGCAAAAUGCGAUAAGUAAUGUGAAUUGCAGAAUUCAGUGAAUCAUCGAAUCUUUGAACGCACAUUGCGCCCGCCAGUAUUCUGGCGGGCAUGCCUGUUCGAGCGUCAUUUCAACCCUCAAGCCCAGCUUGGUGUUGGGAGCUGCAGUCCUGCUGCACUCCCCAAAUACAUUGGCGGUCACGUCGAGCUUCCAUAGCGUAGUAAUUUACACAUCGUUACUGGUAAUCGUCGCGGCCACGCCGUUAAACCCCAACUUCUGAAUGUUGACCUCGGAUCAGGUAGGAAUACCCGCUGAACUUAAGCAUAUCAAUAAGCGGAG
rnacentral:rRNA from 1 species